AGCACAGGUGCUGCAUGGCCGUCGUCAGCUCGUGCCGUGAGGUGUUGGGUUAAGUCCCGCAACGAGCGCAACCCCCGCCGUUAGUUGCCAGCGGUUCGGCCGGGCACUCUAACGGGACUGCCCGCGAAAGCGGGAGGAAGGAGGGGACGACGUCUGGUCAGCAUGGCCCUUACGGCCUGGGCGACACACGUGCUACAAUGCCCACUACAAAGCGAUGCCACCGGCAACGGGGAGCUAAUCGCAAAAAGGUGGGCCCAGUUCGGAUUGGGGUCUGCAACCCGACCCCAUGAAGCCGGAAUCGCUAGUAAUCGCGGAUCAGCCAUGCCGCGGUGAAUACGUUCCCGGGCCUU
rnacentral:rRNA from 1 species